rnacentral:rRNA from 1 species
CUAUCAUGCAGUCGAGCGAACAGAAGGGAGCUUGCUCCCGGAUGUUAGCGGCGGACGGGUGAGUAACACGUGGGUAACCUGCCUGUAAGACUGGGAUAACUCCGGGAAACCGGAGCUAAUACCGGAUAGUUCCUUGAACCGCAUGGUUCAAGGAUGAAAGACGGUUUCGGCUGUCACUUACAGAUGGACCCGCGGCGCAUUAGCUAGUUGGUGGGGUAAUGGCUCACCAAGGCGACGAUGCGUAGCCGACCUGAGAGGGUGAUCGGCCACACUGGGACUGAGACACGGCCCAGACUCCUACGRGAGSMAGCAGUAGGGAAUCUUCCGCAAUGGACGAAAGUCUGACGGAGCAACGCCGCGUGAGUGAUGAAGGUUUUCGGAUCGUAAAGCUCUGUUGUUAGGGAAGAACAAGUGCGAGAGUAACUGCUCGCACCUUGACGGUACCUAACCAGAAAGCCACGGCUAACUACGUGCCAGCAGCCGCGGUAAUACGUAGGUGGCAAGCGUUGUCCGGAAUUAUUGGGCGUAAAGGGCUCGCAGGCGGUUUCUUAAGUCUGAUGUGAAAGCCCCCGGCUCAACCGGGGAGGGUCAUUGGAAACUGGGAAACUUGAGUGCAGAAGAGGAGAGUGGAAUUCCACGUGUAGCGGUGAAAUGCGUAGAGAUGUGGAGGAACACCAGUGGCGAAGGCGACUCUCUGGUCUGUAACUGACGCUGAGGAGCGAAAGCGUGGGGAGCGAACAGGAUUAGAUACCCUGGUAGUCCACGCCGUAAACGAUGAGUGCUAAGUGUUAGGGGGUUUCCGCCCCUUAGUGCUGCAGCUAACGCAUUAAGCACUCCGCCUGGGGAGUACGGUCGCAAGACUGAAACUCAAAGGAAUUGACGGGGGCCCGCACAAGCGGUGGAGCAUGUGGUUUAAUUCGAAGCAACGCGAAGAACCUUACCAGGUCUUGACAUCCUCUGACAACCCUAGAGAUAGGGCUUUCCCUUCGGGGACAGAGUGACAGGUGGUGCAUGGUUGUCGUCAGCUCGUGUCGUGAGAUGUUGGGUUAAGUCCCGCAACGAGCGCAACCCUUGAUCUUAGUUGCCAGCAUUUAGUUGGGCACUCUAAGGUGACUGCCGGUGACAAACCGGAGGAAGGUGGGGAUGACGUCAAAUCAUCAUGCCCCUUAUGACCUGGGCUACACACGUGCUACAAUGGACAGAACAAAGGGCUGCGAGACCGCAAGGUUUAGCCAAUCCCAUAAAUCUGUUCUCAGUUCGGAUCGCAGUCUGCAACUCGACUGCGUGAAGCUGGAAUCGCUAGUAAUCGCGGAUCAGCAUGCCGCGGUGAAUACGUUCCCGGGCCUUGUACACACCGCCCGUCACACCACGAGAGUUUGUAACACCCGAAGUCGGUGAGGUAACCUUUAUGGAGCCAGCCGCCGAAUG